UUGAAUAAACUUGGUUGGGUUGUUGCUGGCUCUCAGGAGCAUGUGCACGCUCACUCCAUUUUAACCACCUGUGCACACACUGUAGGCCUGAAAUGACCUUUUUGAGGAAACUCAGUUUGAGAACUGCUGUGAAAAUCAGCUGUUCUUGCAUUUCAGGUCUAUGUUUUAAAUCAUAUACUCCAAUAACAAGUUAUAGAAUGCUAAACAUAUAGGGACUUUGUGCCUACAAAUAUAAUA
rnacentral:misc_RNA from 1 species